rnacentral:tRNA from 1 species
AGCUCGGUGGUCGAGUGGUAAGACAUCUGCACCAGAAAGCAGGAGGUCGUGGGUUCGAGUCCCACCCGAGUGA